AAGACUUUAAGUUAUACAAACUGGCAGCCUUCAAAGCUACUAAUAAAGAAAACAUUCUUAAGUCUUA
rnacentral:tRNA from 1 species